UCAGGUGGUUAUUGCGGCGGUGUCCCACCUCUUCCCAUUCCGAACAGAGAAGUUAAGCCCGCUUGCGCCGAUGGUACUGCAAUGCAAUGCGGGAGAGUAGGCAGCUGCCUCCU
rfam:Prevotella multisaccharivorax DSM 17128 genomic scaffold scaffold_3, whole genome shotgun sequence.